rnacentral:rRNA from 1 species
AGAGGUGGCAAGCGUUGUUCGGGAAUUAUUGGGCGUAAAGAGCACGUAGGUGGGUUUGUAAGUCAGAUGUGAAAGCCUUCUGUUCAACGGGAAGAGUUGCAUCUGAAACUGCGAGUCUUGAGUGUAGGAGGGGAGAAUGGAACUUCUGGUGGAGCGGUGAAAUGCGUAGAUAUCAGAAGGAACGCCGGCGGCGAAAGCGAUUCUCUGGCCUAUUACUGACACUCAGUGUGCGAAAGCUAGGGGAGCAAACGGGAUUAGAUACCCCGGUAGUCCUAGCCGUAAACGAUGGGCACUAAGUAGAGGGAAUUACCGAUGUUCUCUCUGCCGUAGCUAACGCAUUAAGUGCCCCGCCUGGGGAGUACGGCCGCAAGGCUA